ACUCGGGCCCCGCUCGGCGCGCACCCAAGGGGGGUCGGGCGGGGAAGCGGCGCCGGGCCCGGACCCCCCGCGGGAGCUGGCGGUUGGUGUGAGGGCGAGGCGGCGGCAGCGGCCAACAGGGAGCAGCGGCUGCGGAUUUCCAGUCUACUGAAAAGAAUGUGCUUUGAGAGCUGGAGAUGUGAAUAAGAGUCCUGUGCCACGGCUCAUAAACCAUUUUGAGGAUCCCACCAGGGUACCCUAUUUCAGUUAUCGUCAUGUCUUUUUAGGCUCCUCUUGGCUGUGACAGUUUCUCAGACUUUCCUUGUUUUGAUGACUUUGUCAGUUUUGAAGAUAAUUGAUCAGGUGCAGCAUCCAUUGGUGAUUUCUUGAAGUAGUCUGUACUGUGAUGGCUGCAAAAUGAUCAUUUCUCCAGCUCCAGCGCUUCCUGCACAUAUUUACCAGUUGGAUUCCACUAAAAUGACUGCAGUAUUGGAAGACCAUUACUAUUGGAAGGCCGGUUAGCAUCCAUUUCCUAAGAGAAACUUGACCUCCAUUUGCUCUGGCAUGGCGCAAAGCAGUCCUCAGCUUGAUAUGCAGGUUCUCCAUGACCUCCGACAACGUUUCCCUGAGAUUCCAGAGGGUGUGGUGUCUCAGUGCAUGUUACAGAAUAACAACAAUCUGGAAGCCUGUUGCCGAGCCCUUUCCCAGGAGAGUAGCAAAUACUUAUAUAUGGAAUACCAUAGUCCAGAUGACAACAGGAUGAAUAGAAACCGUCUUUUGCAUAUUAACCUGGGUAUUCAUUCUCCUAGUAGCUACCACCCAGGAGAUGGUGUGCAACUUAAUGGCGGUCGAACGCUGGUACAUAGCUCAAGUGAUGGACAUAUUGAUCCACAGCAUGCAGCAGGUAAACAGCUGAUAUGUUUAGUUCAGGAACCACACUCAGCUCCAGCUGUUGUCGCUGCUACUCCCAACUACAAUCCUUUUUUUAUGAAUGAACAGAACAGAAGUGCAGCUACUCCUCCUUCACAGCCACCUCAACAGCCAUCCUCCAUGCAAACAGGAAUGACUCCAUCUGCUAUGCAAGGGCCUUCACCACCACCACCGCCACCUCCUUCCUACAUGCACAUACCUCGGUAUAGUACCAAUCCAAUUACUGUUACAGUAUCCCAAAACCUCCCUUCUGGACAGACUGUACCAAGAGCUUUACAAAUUCUUCCACAAAUUCCGAGCAAUCUGUAUGGGUCUCCUGGUUCUAUUUAUAUUAGACAGACAUCUCAGAGUUCAUCAGGAAGACAGACUCCUCAGAAUACGCCGUGGCAGUCCUCACCACAGGGCCCAGUGCCUCAUUAUAGCCAGCGUCCUUUACCUGUGUAUCCACAUCAACAAAACUAUCCACCUUCUCAGUAUUCUCCCAAACAACAGCAGAUCCCUCAACCUGCUUACCAUUCACCACCUCCUUCUCAAUGUCCUUCACCCUUCAGCUCUCCUCAGCAUCAAGUACAACCGUCUCCGUUGGGCCACCCCAGUUCUCAUGUCUUUAUGCCACCUAGUCCUUCAACGACGCCACCCCAUCCAUAUCAACAAGGACCUCCUAGCUAUCAGAAACAGGGAAGCCAUUCGGUAGCCUAUCUCCCAUAUACAACAUCUAGCUUACCCAAAGGAUCCAUGAAGAAGAUAGAAAUUACAGUAGAACCCUCUCAGAGAUCUGGAACAGCCAUGAAUAGGAGUCCUUCACCUAUCAGUAACCAGCCAUCUCCACGGAAUCAGCACUCAUUGUACACAGCCACCACACCACCGUCAAGUUCUCCUUCCAGAGGGAUAUCCAGUCAACCGAAACCUCCGUUUACUGUCAAUCCUGUGUAUAUUACAUAUACACAGCCCACUGGACCUUCUUGUGUUCCAUCACCAUCUCCUCGGAUGAUACCAAACCCAACAACCGUUUUUAAAAUCACUGUAGGCCGAGCCACGACUGAAAAUCUGUUAAAUUUAGUGGACCAAGAAGAACGUUCUGCAGCCCCAGAACCUAUUCAGCCCAUUUCAGUGAUACCAGGCUCUGGGGGAGAAAAGGGAAGCCAUAAAUAUCAGAGAAGUUCCAGUUCUGGAUCUGAUGACUAUGCCUAUACACAAGCCUUGCUGUUACAUCAGCGAGCAAGGAUGGAGAGGUUAGCAAAGCAAUUGAAACUUGAGAAAGAGGAGCUAGAGCGCUUGAAGGCAGAAGUUAAUGGUAUGGAGCAUGACCUGAUGCAGAGGCGGCUCAGAAGGGUCAGCUGCACCACGGCGAUCCCAACGCCUGAGGAAAUGACAAGAUUGAGAAGCAUGAACAGACAACUCCAGAUAAAUGUUGACUGUACACUGAAAGAAGUUGACCUCCUUCAAUCUAGAGGAAACUUUGAUCCAAAAGCUAUGAAUAAUUUUUAUGACAACAUAGAACCUGGUCCAGUUGUACCACCCAAGCCGCCUAAAAAAGACUCAUCAGACCCCUGCACAAUUGAGAGAAAAGCCCGAAGAAUUAGCGUGACCUCCAGAGUACAGGAGGACGUCCAUGACACCCAGGCAGCAGCUGCAGAUGAAUGCAUCAGAAUAAAGCAGUAUCAAGAUUGAGCUCUCAAAACAGCGCUAAAAAUCAAAGCUGUUUCCUGUGAAGAAAAAAAAGUCCAUAUAUUGCAUCUCAGAUUGUCAGAAGGUGGAAACUGAAAUAAAUUAUCUCUAAAAAGGAAAAAAAAAGAAUAAAGCAGUAAAGGUCUCUACAGGACUUAAAAAGGCAUCUUUAAAAGAUCUGACUACAGUGCAAAUGAACAAAUAUUUUCCUAUUUCUGUGGAAUACCACGAUUUAUGAUAAUAACUAGAAUUAUGACUGAUAACAUUUUGCUAGUGUGUACCAUGUACCAGACUUUUAGGCACUCAAUAUAAUUUCUAGAGUAUCUAUAUAAAUAACAUCUACCCACAUAAUAUAACCUAAGAUUUGUCACCAUUUGACCAUGCUUCCCAUGUAAUUUAACAUACCAGAUAAGCCUAAUUAAUUUAUUAUCUUUUCUUUGAUAAGUAAACACUUCUCUUGAGGUGUUCCAGGGGCCCUUUGGAAAAACCUCAAGUUACCUAAGAAGUCAAAUGAAUUUCACUUAGAAUGUGAUCUUAAGGAAUUUUGUCAAAAAUAUUAAGGUUUCAAAGCACUUAGUCACAAACGGGAUCACGAAUACUUCGUGAUCAUGCUUCACGAUUACUGUGAAGCAAUGCUUAUUUUCCCUUAGUCAAAAUGACAAUAAAAGAUUUCAAAACCAAAUACAGAAAGGUAUAACACAUUGCUUAAAAUGUAAAGGAACUUUACAAUAUGUUAUCAGAAGCAGAUUAAUAUUAGAAGAAAAUUUUGAAAACCAAAUUCAGGUUUUGUACCAUUUUUCCCUUUAAUAUUAAAAUUCAUAUACUCAAAUUUACUUAGUCCUGACCACCCAUAGAAUUCCUUUCUAAAGAUUCUUUUCUCAUAAACUUUCUUCAACUUUCUAUAUUCAUAUUAAUUUGUCCCUUAUUUUCUUUCCCAUUUAGAAAUAACCAGUUUUAUGACAAAAUUACUUCCCAUUCCAUUAACAAAACACAUUUUUGUUUCCUAUACCUUUUUCUUCCUUUUUUUAUUUUACAUUUUUUUCAUUUAUUUUUAUUAGUUGGAGGCUAAUUACAAUAUUGUAGUGGUUUUUGCCAUACAUUGACAUGAAUCAGCCAUGGAUUUACAUGUGUUCCCCAUCCUAAUCGCAUACAAAGAUGUUUUCUUUAUUAGAAACCUUAGUUUCUAGCAAAAACUUAAGAAACAAGUAAUUAUGAACUGUUUGCCAAUCAGGAAAUGCUGACAUGACAAACUGUGGACAUACAUGAUAACCCAGUUUCUUUUUUUUAUUAACACAAGCCUCUUAAGAUAAAUAGAAGAGAUUUGGGGCAUGUUAAAGGAUUGUGGGCUUUGGACUGUUCCUGGAACCACACCUCUAGUUCUGUAAAAACUUGUUUUGUAAAACAAGCACAGCUCUUUUUAAUUUCUCAAAGAAGUGCAUGGCCACCUUAAUGACAUCAAAGGACUGAUAUGCCCAUCCACCUUUGGUAGAAUAUUUCUCAUUUCCUCAUUUAACUUUGUGCGUGCAUGCCCAUUCAUUCAAUCAUGUCUGACUUUUGCAACUCCAUGGACUGUAGCCCACCCAGCUCUUCUGUCCAUGGGAUUUCCCAGACAAGAAUACUGGAGUUGGUUGCCAUUUCCUUCUCCAGGAGAUCUUCCCGACCCAGGGAUCAAACCCGUGCCUCUUGUGUCUCCUGCAUUGGCAGACAGAUUCUUUGCUACUCAGCCACCUGAGAAAGUCCCGUUUAGUUUGGGGAGAAGGCAAAAAAAAAAAUCCAGUCAGGCUCUCAAUAUCAGAUACAUGUCAGUUUAGUCAGAAGUGGCCUCCCAUCUUGAUUAUCUGUUUACAAAAACCUUUGAGGAUCCAUGCUGGGUUUAAGAAAUUCUUUACCUAGAGCACUCAGUUUGGCCUUUGAUCUGAAGACGCUUGCGUACAGUCUUAGGUGGUAUCAUUUCUAAUCAUUUACUACUCUCUUCAGAGUGGAAGGGUAAUUCAGAGAAUUACUAGAAUACAAGGACUCAAAGGACAGAGGAGAGCAUAAUUAUGUCAGCUUAUAAAGUUUUUGUUUAGGUACCUUUUAUAUCAUUAACUUUUAGCCUUCAACAAUAAAUCUUUCAUUGAGGUUAUUUUGGGAGUUUUGGGGCCUUCUGCAUACCAAUUAAAAUAGCUAUUAAUACAGUACUUCAGGAUGAGAACUCGCUUAAAUGUUAACAAUUUAGAAGACUUAACCAAUUUAAAGGAUCCAAGGAGCUAGCCCUAUAUUUUCUCCUGCUAACCUCAGUUUGGAAAAGAGAACGACUCUCAUCACUUUUAUUUCCAGUAGACCCUGCAGGCAGGGAUCCAGGAGAGAGUGACAUGACAAGCCUGUUCUGCUGGGCUUUCUCUGAGUGCAGUUUUGGAGUGCCCAAGAAUCCCAUCUUGGCCAUUCCAGGGCGGGAUUUCCUUUAAUUCCUAAUUAUGUAAGUACUUGUGAGCAUACAGAAACCCAGCUGGUAUCCAGUAGGUUGCUGUCCGCCUGGAAGCUGUGGGGCCUGAGGCACAGGUUCCAGUACUGAUUCAGCGGUCUCAUUUCAAUAUGCAUGUGAUCUGAGCUUUCUGAGGACCUUGUGGUGGAUCAGAUAGAUGCUGCUUCUGACUGUAGUUCCCCAAAGAGUUGCCCUUGGCUCAGUUUCUCCCUCUUGACAGUCUACUAUGCCUGUGGGUCAUCAGAGCACUGGAUGAUUUAUCCUUAGCAUGUGCAUCCUUAGAAGAGCAGUAUUUACUUUACGGUUGCAGUGCAGUUCCCCUGCUGGACCACCACUGCCAGUCACAAGGAUUGAUCUUCAGACACUAACGCUAGGUUGUCAGUCACCUGAGAAUGCCACAUGGCUGAAAGGAGCAAAUGUCCUGUGUUCUUAGGAGCUAAAUAAUGCAGUCUCUUGUUUUACUACCAGAAGUUUUUUUUUUUUUCCAGCCAUAUAGCAACUUUUUUUUUCUUUAUUUAGGCCAGUUUACCAAAAACGCAACCACCUGUGUUUCCCUGUGUCUCCGCCCAAGAUCCCCUCCGUCCUUGCAUAGGAAAUGCAUGUGGGACUCUUAAGAGUCCAAGUCUUAAAUAAAAACAGCUCAAAUAAAAUUUUUUAGGAUUAUCAAGGCAAUGAGAUCCAGAUAUCAGAAGAACUCACUGGAACACCUAAGAAGGACCAAGAAGCUGGUGGGGCUUAAUGGACCCAUGUUGGCAUCGAGUGCUGAUUCAGGGUAGACUCCAGCUGUCCUCGUGAGCAUCUCUGAUAUCCUGCCAGCUUCACUAUGCAUAUAUUAAUGAAAAAAUCAGUAGUUGAUCUGAGAAAGAAAUGGAAAAUUUAUUUGAACCUACCUGAGGAUUAUAACCUGGGAAACAGAAAGCUGUGAGGACUGUUAGGUGUCCAAGCACAGUUCUGUAAGUUGUUUUAGACAAAGGAUUAUACUUCAGAUGAUGUGUCAACAGUUUAUACAAUCCAGAACUGCAUGUACAAAGUGAGGAGUGGGUCAUCCUGACCCUCUACAAGAUUGAGAAGGAAUAGUAUCUCCUAAGGAGGUUGGGUUGAUACAGAUGCACAAUACAGACUAAAGGGGAAGGAGGAAGCCCAAACAGGCAGAAAAUAAUUUUCUGUUUAAAUUCUGGGCAUGCCAUAAAAUACAACUAUUACUUCAUCAAGCCAAAAGAUACAAGGUGGACGCUAAUGGGCAGUUAAAAGCAAUAGUUGAAGCCAGAGUCAACAAACCCAUCUCCUUUUUAUAGUCAAGAAUAGGCUGGAAAAGCCAAUGUUUUUCUGUUCUACUGGAAGGUUGAGAACACCUUCCUGAUUGAGCCUGAGCCUUACUAUACCUGCAAAAAGAUUCAGGGUCUAGAACUCAUUUCUCGUUACCUCUUGGGGAAUAGUCACACAGCGAUUUGUCAUUAAAGACCAACUGAUAAAGCAUAUUUCCAAUGGGCAGUGUGCUUAACCCCAGAUGGUAACUGAUUAAAGCUUCCUCAGAUCUCAAUUUCUUUUGUCACCUGCUUAGGAAGGCUGCUUACCUUAGAUCUUAAUUCCAUUUGCAGUUUUUAGUGAGGAUUUCUAGGUGUAUGGGUAGAUUUCGCCAGCCUGCUGACCUUGUUCAGAUUCCAGGGUGGUUUUCCAGCUGGAACUUGGGAGCCUGCUAGUCCCUAACCCCACUUUCAGUAGGUACUGUUCAUGGAAGGCAACUCUAAAAGCAAAGAACCUUUUUGAGUACAAGGCCAGAGAGAAUGAGGACCUAGGAGGAAUGUAAAUUUUAAGUUUUUUUUAAAUCCUGAGGACCAGCAUAAGGCUGCCAGCAUUUUAUAUUGCCAGGUAUAGACAUGUUUAAUAACUCACAUCUGAAAGAUCUUUAAAUUUAUUGACAAAAGGCAGGGAAGAAUUGAGGAUAAAAGUCAUAUUGAAUGAAUUUAGCUUCAUGAAAAACCACAGUCUUCUAUAUUUCUGUUUUAUAUUUCUUUCUGGGAGAAACUUUUAUGAACUGUCGCACCACUGACAAACCAUGAUUGUUAAAAACAUGCAUAUUUUGGAGCUGAAAGUCUCAAGGAAGAAGGCACACAUUUUAUGAGAUGUUUGAUAUACUAUGGCUAGUACUGUGGGUGGUGGGAGUCACUGGCAGGCUGAGGUUGUGAGGGAGAACUUAGAAGGUAGAGUUUAACAUGCUGUAUAACAUUUUUUUUUCCAUUUGACUGGAAUAGAGCAUAUCUGUGGAGAAAGCAACGGCAACCUACUCCAGUACUCUUGGCCUGAAAAAUCCCAUGGACUGGGCUGCAGUCCCUGGGGUCGCGAAGAGUCAGACACAACUGAGCGACUUCACUUUCACUUUUCACUUUCACGCAUUGGAGAAGGAAAUGGCAGCCCACUCCAGUGUUCUUGCCUGGAGAAUCCCAGGGAUGGGGCAGCCUGGUGGGCUGCCGUCUGUGGGGUCACACAGAGUCGGACACGACUGAAGCGACUUAGCAGCAGCAGCAGCAGUCACUGUGCACCUAGAGACAAUAAACUUGGAAGAGCACCCAGGUGGCUCCAAACAGAGUCCUCGGACACAACCCCGAGAUGAAGACUAUGAAGGGGCUCCGUGGAAUUGUGAUAGCUGCACCUUUCUGAACCACCCCGCACUAAAUCGCUGUGAGCAGUGUGAGAUGCCAC